rnacentral:tRNA from 1 species
GAUUGACUAGCUCAGUCAGUAGAGCAUGAGACUCUUAAUCCCAAGGUUAUAGGUUUGAGCCCCAUGUUAGGUU